rnacentral:rRNA from 1 species
CUACGGGAGGCAGCAGUGGGGAAUAUUGCACAAUGGGCGCAAGCCUGAUGCAGCGACGCCGCGUGGGGGAUGACGGCCUUCGGGUUGUAAACUCCUUUCAGCGCCGACGAAGCGGAAGUGACGGUAGGCGCAGAAGAAGCACCGGCCAACUACGUGCCAGCAGCCGCGGUAAUACGUAGGGUGCGAGCGUUGUCCGGAAUUACUGGGCGUAAAGAGCUCGUAGGUGGCUUGUCGCGUUGCCUGUGAAAACCUGGGGCUCAACCCCGGGCGUGCAGGCGAUACGGGCAGGCUCGAGUACUGCAGGGGAGACUGGAAUUCCUGGUGUAGCGGUGAAAUGCGCAGAUAUCAGGAGGAACACCGGUGGCGAAGGCGGGUCUCUGGGCAGUAACUGACGCUGAGGAGCGAAAGCGUGGGGAGCGAACAGGAUUAGAUACCCCUGUAGUCC